CGGCGAAAGGCGCUUCCUCAGCCCGCGCGGGAGACCCAGAAGUAGUACUGAGGUAGCGCUCGUCCUCCCGCCGGUCCACCACCACCGAGUGUAGCCCGGGCCCGGCCUAUUUCAUCAGACACAACCCCAGAGCCGGGAGCCACCCCUACCCCGGGAGCCCUUCGCCAAGCACGCAGCUCCAGACCAGAAGCAGUCGCUCCGACCCAGAGCUCCGGGUGGGGCAGAAGAAUCUUUUCUUGCUGCUCUCCUAGGAUCUACCAACCAGAGAUUCUAAUGUGAUACGUUUGGAAUGGAGUUAUCGAUCUGCAUUUUUAAUAGGCAUUCCUCCAGGAAACCAUGAGAAGGCUGCUCUUGGCAAGCCAGGAAGAAGGCCUUAGC
rnacentral:lncRNA from 10 species